UGCUGUUGUCUCCACCUCUGCUCCGAUGACCCGACGCCAGCAGUCGCGACGCCUGACGCCGUUGCCCUGAAGACCAGCGACCGACGUCCUUGCUCGGCGCUAGAAGCCCCGACGCCCCUGCUGCUGGGUCCUCCUCUGCUCCCGACGCCCCUGCAAGUGCAUGCUGCUUUAUUCUUGGUUGUGAAUGUUGGAGCGAAAUUGGGUAUGAUGGAUGGAGGCUCGAUUUUGUUAGCGGCUUUUGGGGUGGCUAUGUCAAAGACUACUUGGAUGCUAGUGAACCUUACUUUGUUGUUGGUGAGUACUGGGAUUCCCUUAGCUAUACAUAUGGAGAAAUGGAUCACAAUCAAGAUGCACACAGACAAAGAAUUAUCGACUGGAUAAACGCUACAAAUGGCACAGCUGGAGCAUUUGAUGUCACCACAAAAGGAAUUCUUCAUGCCGUAAGCACUAUCACUGAUAGAUAGGCACUUUUUUAGAUGUUCUGGAAGCAUAGACACUCUGAUUAAGUGCACUGACUCUAGAUAGAGGAAAUUCAUUCGGUGUUUUGUUUUUCUUUUUGGAUGAGUAUGCAUACCAUGUCAAUUAAUUUGUUCACGUUAUGCUUAAAUUAGAGAUGUACAGCUAUUACACUGCUGGACCCGCUGUUAUUCAAGUAGUUAUGCUCUUGGA